rnacentral:rRNA from 1 species
GGCGGACGGGUGAGUAAUGCCUAGGAAUCUGCCUGGUAGUGGGGGACAACGUUUCGAAAGGAACGCUAAUACCGCAUACGUCCUACGGGAGAAAGUGGGGGAUCUUCGGACCUCACGCUAUCAGAUGAGCCUAGGUACGAUUAGCUAGUUGGUGAGGUAAAGGCUCACCAAGGCGACGAUCGUUAACUGGUCUGAGAGGAUGAUCAGUCACACUGGAACUGAGACACGGCCCAGACUCCUACGGGAGGCAGCAGUGGGGAAUUUUGGACAAUGGGCGCAAGCCUGAUCCAGCAAUGCCGCGUGCAGGAAGAAGGCCUUCGGGUUGUAAACUGCUUUUGUCAGGGAAGAAAUCUUCUGGGCU